AUUGAACGCUGGCGGCAUGCCUUACACAUGCAAGUCGAACGGCAGCACGGGAGCAAUCCUGGUGGCGAGUGGCGAACGGGUGAGUAAUAUAUCGGAACGUGCCCAGUAGUGGGGGAUAACCCGGCGAAAGUCGGACUAAUACCGCAUACGACCUACGGGUGAAAGCGGGGGAUCGCAAGACCUCGCGCUAUCGGAGCGGCCGAUAUCAGAUUAGCUUGUUGGUGGGGUAAAAGCCUACCAAGGCGACGAUCUGUAGCUGGUCUGAGAGGACGACCAGCCACACUGGGACUGAGACACGGCCCAGACUCCUACGGGAGGCAGCAGUGGGGAAUUUUGGACAAUGGGCGCAAGCCUGAUCCAGCCAUGCCGCGUGCGGGAAGAAGGCCUCGGUUGUAACCGACUUUGUCUAGGAGAACGGUUAGUAGCGUAAUACUCGAACUAAUAGACGGUACCUCGAAGAAUAAGACACCGGCUAACU
rnacentral:rRNA from 1 species